rnacentral:rRNA from 1 species
GACGAACGCUGGCGGCGUGCUUAACACAUGCAAGUCGAACGGAAAGGCCCUGCUUUUGUGGGGUGCUCGAGUGGCGAACGGGUGAGUAACACGUGAGUAACCUGCCCUUGACUUUGGGAUAACUUCAGGAAACUGGGGCUAAUACCGGAUAGGAGCUCCUGCUGCAUGGUGGGGGUUGGAAAGUUUCGGCGGUUGGGGAUGGACUCGCGGCUUAUCAGCGUGUUGGUGGGGUAGUGGCUUACCAAGGCUUUGACGGGUAGCCGGCCUGAGAGGGUGACCGGCCACAUUGGGACUGAGAUACGGCCCAGACUCCUACGGGAGGCAGCAGUGGGGAAUAGUGCACAAUGGGCGGAAGCCUGAUGCAGCAACGCCGCGUGCGGGAUGACGGCCUUCGGGUUGUAAACCGCUUUCGCCUGGGACGAAGCGUGAGUGACGGUAAUGGGUAAAGAAGCACCGGCUAACUACGUG